rnacentral:rRNA from 1 species
CCCUUAGAUGUUCUGGGCUGCACGCGCGCUACACUGAAGCUAUCAACACGUUUUCCCUCCCUGAGAAGGGCGGGUAACCUUUUGAAUCAGCUUCGUGGUAGGGAUCGGGGCUUGCAAUUGUUCCCCGUGAACCAGGAAUUCCUAGUAGACGCGAGUCAUAAGCUCGCAUCGAUUAAGUCCCUGCCCUUUGUACACACCGCCCGUCGCUACUACCGAUUGAACGUUUUAGUGAGGCAUUUGGACCGACGCAUCUCAGUUUAACCGCUGGUUUGUGUUGGAAAGACUUCCAAGCUUGAGCGUUUAGAGGAAGUAAAAGUCGUAACA